UGGGGGAUAUUGCACAAUGGGCGAAAGCCUGAUGCAGCGACGCCGCGUGGGGGAUGAAGGCUUUCGGGUUGUAAACCUCUUUCGCUAUCGAACAAGGCCCGCUUAGGGUGGGUUGAGGGUAGGUGGAGAAGAAGCGCCGGCUAACUACGUGCCAGCAGCCGCGGUAAUACGUAGGGCGCGAGCGUUGUCCGGAAUUAUUGGGAGUAAAGGGCUUGUAGGCGGCUUGUUGCGCCUGCUGUGAAAACGCGGGGCUUAACUUCGCGCGUGCAGUGGGUACGGGCAGGCUUGAGUGUGGUAGGGGUGACUGGAAUUCCAGGUGUAGCGGUGGAAUGCGCAGAUAUCUGGAGGAACACCGAUGGCGAAGGCAGGUCACUGGGCCAUUACUGACGCUGAGGAGCGAAAGCAUGGGUAGCGAACAGG
rnacentral:rRNA from 1 species